AUUGCCCUAGUAACGGCGAGUGAAGCGGCAACAGCUCAAAUUUGAAAUCUGGCGUCUUUGGCGUCCGAGUUGUAAUUUGCAGAGGGCGCUUUGGCAUUGGCAGCGGUCCAAGUUCCUUGGAACAGGACGUCACAGAGGGUGAGAAUCCCGUACGUGGUCGCUAGCCUUUACCGUGUAAAGCCCCUUCGACGAGUCGAGUUGUUUGGGAAUGCAGCUCUAAAUGGGAGGUAAAUUUCUUCUAAAGCUAAAUACUGGCCAGAGACCGAUAGCGCACAAGUAGAGUGAUCGAAAGAUGAAAAGCACUUUGGAAAGAGAGUUAAAAAGCACGUGAAAUUGUUGAAAGGGAAGCGCUUGCAGCCAGACUUGCCUGUAGUUGCUCAUCUAGGUUUCUACCUAGUGCACUCUUCUAUAGGCAGGCCAGCAUCAGUUUGGGCGGUUGGAUAAAGGUCUCUGUCAUGUACCUCUCUUCGGGGAGAACUUAUAGGGGAGACGACAUGCAACCAGCCUGGACUGAGGUCCGCGCAUCUGCUAGGAUGCUGGCGUAAUGGCUGUAAGCGGCCCGUCUUGAAACACGGACCAAGGAGUCUAACAUCUAUGCGAGUGUUUGGGUGUCAAGCCCGAGCGCGUAAUGAAAGUGAACGGAGGUGGGAACCUUUCGGGGUGCACCAUCGACCGAUCCUGAUGUCUUCGGAUGGAUUUGAGUAAGAGCAUAGCUGUUGGGACCCGAAAGAUGGUGAACUAUGCUUGAAUAGGGUGAAGCCAGAGGAAACUCUGGUGGAGGCUCGCAGCGGUUCUGACGUGCAAAUCGAUCGUCAAAUUUGGGCAUAGGGGCGAAAGACUAAUCGA
rnacentral:rRNA from 3 species